UCCAUGAUGGCCGAGAAUAAGGCAUCGAGCUUUUAACUCGAUUACAGUCAAUUUAUACUUCAGGAU
rnacentral:tRNA from 1 species